GUGGACGCCAGUCUGCAUGGAGCCGACCUUGAAAUACCACCCUUUAAUGUUUGAUGUUCUAACGUGGACCCGUAAUCCGGGUUGCGGACAGUGUCUGGUGGGUAGUUUGACUGGGGCGGUCUCCUCCUAAAGAGUAACGGAGGAGCACGAAGGUUGGCUAAUCCUGGUCGGACAUCAGGAGGUUAGUGCAAUGGCAUAAGCCAGCUUGACUGCGAGCGUGACGGCGCGAGCAGGUGCGAAAGCAGGUCAUAGUGAUCCGGUGGUUCUGAAUGGAAGGGCCAUCGCUCAACGGAUAAAAGGUACUCCGGGGAUAACAGGCUGAUACCGCCCAAGAGUUCAUAUCGACGGCGGUGUUUGGCACCUCGAUGUCGGCUCAUCACAUCCUGGGGCUGAAGUAGGUCCCAAGGGUAUGGCUGUUCGCCAUUUAAAGUGGUACGCGAGCUGGGUUUAGAACGUCGUGAGACAGUUCGGUCCCUAUCUGCCGUGGGCGCUGGAGAACUGAGGGGGGCUGCUCCUAGUACGAGAGGACCGGAGUGGACGCAUCACUGGUGUUCGGGUUGUCAUGCCAAUGGCACUGCCCGGUAGCUAAAUGCGGAAGAGAUAAGUGCUGAAAGCAUCUAAGCACGAAACUUGCCCCGAGAUGAGUUCUCCCUGAGACUUAGAGUCUCCUGAAGGAACGUUGAAGACGACGACGUUGAUAGGCCGGGUGUGUAAGCGCAG
rnacentral:rRNA from 1 species